rnacentral:rRNA from 1 species
CAGCAGCCGCGGUAAUACGUAGGUGGCAAGCGUUGUCCGGAAUUAUUGGGCGUAAAGCGUCUGUAGGUGGCUUUUCAAGUCCGCCGUCAAAUCCCAGGGCUCAACCCUGGACAGGCGGCGGAAACUACCAAGAUGGAGUACGGUAGGGGCAGAGGGAAUUUCCGGUGGAGCGGUGAAAUGCGUUGAGAUCGGAAAGAACACCAACGGUGAAAGCACUCUGCUGGGCCGACACUGACACUGAGAGACGAAAGUUAGGGGAGAAAAUGGGAUUAGAUACCCCAGUAGUCCCUGUCUCUUAUAC